GCCCAACCACACGUAGCACGGGAUACGCGUCUCGCUACGCGUACGCGUAAGCGUACGCGUCUCCGAGUGCGUACGCGGGUGAUGAAGGGAAGGGCGACCAGCCACACGAUACGCGCAAACGUGCGCGCUUCACUGCGCGUAGCACAGGGCUGACAGACCAGUGACGGCGGAAACGUUUCGGUUUUAGAAAAGCUUUAAUUCAUUAUGGCUGGUCGUUUCUAUUUAAUUUAUCAAUGUUACAUCUACUACAUUGUUUUUAAAUGGAGAAAUGCACGCCAUUUGUAUCUACACAUUGUUAUUAAGCAAAACUACAUCGAUCAUCAACAUCAUCACUGAUCUACCCGUGCGCGCGGUAGCGUCUGCUUGCCCACGACUGGAGUUGACAUCUGCGCGCGACCGCACGACGUUGCUAUCGAGCUUUUGUUAAUCCGCUUGCUUCGCCAGCUUCAGCGUUCGCCGCCCGCAAUGUACUACAUGAGAUUGAAGCUUUUGCUUCUUGCACAGAAGCUCUUGCUGCUGCUGCUCUUGCAAAGGCGGCGGGAACGCAGAAAGCGUCUGCAGCGACGUUGGUGGGUCCGGCCCGUCUUUCAACGGCGUAAAGAAGAAGGACUUUACUAUACGGCUGAGGUGCGUGGAAAAUGCCUUUGGCAUCACAGCAGCCCGGUGGCGCAUACUCCUCCGAACCAUCCCUUUGCAGCCUGAGAAUGUUGACUUUGUCAUCAAAGCAGCUUGCAUCUUGCACAACUUCCUGUCCAUCCUGAACGCAGAUGUGCAUCAUUUCACAGACAGGGAGGACAGUUUUGGGAAUGUUGUGCCGGGGCACUGGCGGCAAGGCAUGCCAAGGGAUGGCUCGGAGCAGGGCUACUUUCCACUUCGCACCACACGUGCCAGAAACUUUCAAGCUAGAGCUGCGGAUGCCAGCAAUCUUCUGAUGGCGUACUUCUGCAGCAGUGCUGGUGAGGUCCCCUGGCAGUGGAACCAACCUGGUGUGUCAAAGGAAGCAGCCGUGAAGCAGCCGUGAAGCAGCUCCAUGACCUACAGCUACUUCCACUCCAGUGAUAAGGAACACUGCCCAGCGUCCCUUGCUUGUGACUGCCUGCUGAGGGCAGCAAUGUUUCUGACUGCUGCCUGCUAUGAUGUGCCUCGGAAGCCUCCGGAACCAGCACAUCUUGAAGCACCGGUGAUUCCAGAGAUUCCAAAAUGUCCUGGGAUUCCAAUGACUCAUGUGACACCGUAGACAGUGUCGCUUGCGACGCUUCACCGGAUGGUGACGGCACCUCAAGCGAUGCCCGAUCAGAAAACUGGCACAUCUUUGUUAAAAUGUCCGCAGCGCUUUCCUCCUCACUCGAUGGGGGCACAGAUGGAAGGUUGCCGGAUGUCCUGCAUGUGAGCGUAUUAAGGUUUGCACAUAUUGCGAAAGUGCAAAUAAUGUGCCGGUCUAAGGGCAAAAAUAUGUAAUGGCUCAAGCCCAUCCACAUUUGUUUUAAGGUGUCAUUUUAUUAGAAAGCAACGCCGAAACUCUCAGUCAGUUUUGUAAAGCUUGUGUACACAACCAGAAUGAACAUUUUUUGCAUGCACUGAAAUGUAGCUUUUGUAUUUUUCUUUUUUUUUUUUUGCUUCUCAUACAUUUAAGCAGUUCCCCAUGAGAUCUGCGUGCCUAACGCCUAGUGAUACCUUGUACUCGAAAGAGCGCAUAUCUGGAAUGCUUCAGUUUCGAAAUACAUCAAUUAGCAUUCCACUACACUUAAUCAGUGUGCCCACUUAAUAAAUUUCAUGUUGAAAGAUGUAUGUUUCUACUCUCUCAACAUUCAGUAAUAGUAUUGUUAUGCCAUGUUUUAACAUGAGGCUUUUUCCUGUUGUUACAGUUUCUUACUUGAAAUGUUCUCGGCUUGUAACUGUUUUCCUUUCAUUGGUUUUUAAACUUCACAUCAUACUAAACUGUUUUUCUUAAUUCAUUGUAUGUAUAAACACAGUGCAAAGCUAUGUAAAAUGUAGCAGUCAGUGCAAUUGUUGUUUGUAUUUAGGAAGUUUUGUAUAAUCAUGUUUGUCACCUUGCCAUCUGCCAUGCAAGGUUUUUUGUUGGCCCAGUGAAGCUGAUUUUAGCGAGCGAACCCCUCCAGAAGGUUUCUUAAACAAAAGCUUUCUUUGCCUCUUCUUUUGACUUUCCCACCGCUGCUGCUGCUGUUUUGCCAAAUAGGUCUUACUUAAGGCAUCAUACUGAAAUUAAUGUAGUCGUUGAACCACUGUCAACCCAGCUGACUGCCGGCUACAGUCUUGCACGAGUGACCAGUACCGGACAUAGCGCAAAUACCGGAUAUAAUAACGUAAUCAGAUCGUGGUUUAGACACGUAAAAUUCCAGUAAUAACUUUUUCCACAGUGCAAAUGAGAGUAAACUGGUCAUGUACUCUCUACUUGGAAAUGUCUGCUAAGCAGUAACAGCGUUCUCCACAAACAUUGUGAAAGCUUUGCUUAAACCAAUAACCACAUCGCUUGGGAUCCACAAAGUCACCGCAGGCUGAUAAUUAGGUAAGGACACCGCUGAGCAGACACAAAAACCAGUAUUAUCAAUCACGCAGCUGACAAUGUCAUCAAUACUUUGGUGCAUUUAUUCCUACAGCAUGAGGGCACUGAAUGAAUCCUUGAGCGAGCUAGGCAAAAUUUGAGUGUGUGAUGGAGCACUGAUUUGCACAGGGCUGGCAAGCAACAAAACGCAAAAUUAAAGCUGCUCAUUGCAGUGCCCCAGACAGACGUGAAUAUAGCAAUAUUCAAUACUCGGCUAAAUACUGCUAUGCACUUGCACGCUGCCUUCUAGGAUCAGUGCAUAGAAUCAAAGGAAAGCACUUGCACCUAACACAACGCAUGCCUCUUGUGGUAUGAAUGACUAUUGCCAAAGUUUUUCUUUGUAUGUGUGUGUGUGUGUGUGUGUGUGUGUGUGUGUGUGUGUGUGUGUGCGCAUCAGGCAAGUCCUUUUCUUUUAGUUUGCCCUGCUAGUUUGUAUGUGCUAGUCUCUGCACUUCUGUCUUGUGCUUUAUUAUAUUAGGUUUGUAUGUGCUACUUUAGGUGUUAUUUUGUACUUGUUUUUCUGCUUUCUCUGCUACCCACUGCAAAGAAAAACCGGCUUUGUGGGUACCUAAAUAAAUAUACAAAACUAU